GGGAAUAGCUCAAUUGGCAGAGCGUCGGUCUCCAAAACCGAAGGUUGUGGGUUCGAUUCCCUCUUCCC
rnacentral:tRNA from 1 species